UGGAGUGGUAGUUCAGUUGGUUAGAAUACCGGCCUGUCACGCCGGGGGUCGCGGGUUCGAGUCCCGUCCACUCCGA
rnacentral:tRNA from 1 species